rnacentral:tRNA from 1 species
GAUGGCAUAGCCAAGUGGGUAAGGCAACGGUCUGCAAAACCGUUAUGCGCCGGUUCAAAUCCGGUCGCCAUCUCCA